UUGAUGAAGCCAUCCUGAAGUGUGAC
rnacentral:piRNA from 1 species